GCAGUCGACGCACUUUCGUUAUUGAUUUUGAGAUGCUUGCAUCGAAGAUGAUUUUAACUAUAAAGUGAGUGGCGAACGGGUGAGUAACACGUGGGUAACCUGCCCAGAAGUGGGGGAUAACACCUGGAAACAGAUGCUAAUACCGCAUAACAAAAUUAACCGCAUGGUUGAUUUUUAAAAGAUGGCUUCGGCUAUCACUUCUGGAUGGACCCGCGGCGUAUUAGCUAGUUGGUGAGAUAAAGGCUCACCAAGGCAGUGAUACGUAGCCGACCUGAGAGGGUAAUCGGCCACAUUGGGACUGAGACACGGCCCAGACUCCUACGGGAGGCAGCAGUAGGGAAUCUUCCACAAUGGACGCAAGUCUGAUGGAGCAACGCCGCGUGAGUGAUGAAGGCUUUCGGGUCGUAAAACUCUGUUGUUGGAGAAGAACGUGUGUGAGAGUAACUGCUCAUGCAGUGACGGUAUCCAACCAGAAAGCCACGGCUAACUACGUGCCAGCAGCCGCGGUAAUACGUAGGUGGCAAGCGUUAUCCGGAUUUAUUGGGCGUAAAGCGAGCGCAGGCGGUCUUUUAAGUCUAAUGUGAAAGCCUUCGGCUUAACCGAAGAAGUGCAUUGGAAACUGGGAGACUUGAGUGCAGAAGAGGAGAGUGGAACUCCAUGUGUAGCGGUGAAAUGCGUAGAUAUAUGGAAGAACACCAGUGGCGAACGCGGCUCUCUGGUCUGCAACUGACGCUGAGGCUCGAAAGCAUGGUAGCGACAGGAUUAGAUACCUGGUAGUCAUGCGUAACGAUGAUGCUAGUGUGAGGUUUCGCCCUCAGUGCUGCAGCUACGCAUAGCAUCCGCCUGGGGAGUACGACCGCAAG
rnacentral:rRNA from 1 species